rnacentral:tRNA from 1 species
GGGACAUGUAUACAGAAGGUUCUGUAAUCUGAUUGCAGAUCAGAUAUAAGAGGUUCAAUUCCUCCUUGUCUCU